rnacentral:sRNA from 1 species
AGCAGCCGCGGUAAUUCCAGCUCCAAUAGCGUAUAUUAAAGUUGUUGCAGUUAAAAAGCUCGUAGUUGAAUUUCGGGGUCAGUAGGUCGGUCGUGCCACAGGUAUGCACUGGUCUCACUGAUUCCUCCUUCCUGAUGAACCGUAAUGCCAUUAAUUUGGUGUUGCGGGGAGACUGGACUGUUACUUUGAAAAAUUAGAGUGUUUAAAGCAGGCUAACGCUUGAAUACAUUAGCAUGGAAUAACGGAAUAGGACGUUCGAUCUUAUUUUGUUGGUUUCUAAGAUUGACGUAAUGAUUAAUAGGGAUAGUUGGGGGCAUUAGUAUUCAAUUGUCAGAGGUGAAAUUCUUGGAUUUAUUGAAGACUAACUACUGCGAAAGCAUUUGCCAAGGAUGUUUUCAUUAA